rnacentral:rRNA from 1 species
UACGAAGGGGGCUAGCGUUGCUCGGAAUUACUGGGCGUAAAGCGCCCGUAGGCGGCUUGUUAAGUCGGGGGUGAAAUCCUGGAGCUCAACUCCAGAACUGCCUUCGAUACUGGCGAUCUAGAGUCCGGGAGAGGUGAGUGGAACUGCGAGUGUAGAGGUGAAAUUCGUAGAUAUUCGCAAGAACACCAGUGGCGAAGGCGGCUCACUGGCCCGGUACUGACGCUGAGGUGCGAAAGCGUGGGGAGCAAACAGG